GAUGAACGCUGGCGGCGUGCCUAAUACAUGCAAGUCGAGCGAACGGACGAGAAGCUUGCUUUUCUGAUGUUAGCGGCGGACGGGUGAGUAACACGUGGAUAACCUACCUAUAAGACUGGGAUAACUUCGGGAAACCGGAGCUAAUACCGGAUAAUAUUUUGAACCGCAUGGUUCAAAAGUGAAAGACGGUCUUGCUGUCACUUAUAGAUGGAUCCGCGCUGCAUUAGCUAGUUGGUAAGGUAACGGCUUACCAAGGCAACGAUGCAUAGCCGACCUGAGAGGGCGAUCGGCCACACGGCAAAGGAGACACGGAGCAGAAUCGUAAGUGAGGCACGAGUAGGGAACCUACGGCAAGGGGCGAUAGCGUAACGGAGGAACGCCGCGAGAGUGAUGAAGGGCUACGCAGCGUAAAUCACUGUGAUCAGAGGAGAGCAUAUGUCUAUGUACCGGUGCAAAUAUUGCGGGAACCGAAGCAGAAGGCCCCGGUUAAUUACGU
rnacentral:rRNA from 1 species